ACCAUACACCAUAUAGAAACCCUUCUUUCUGAGCCUUUCAUCUCUGGGUCACUGGUUCCAAUCGAGCCCAGGUCGAUAGCGAACAAAAAUCAUUUUAAUCUGAUGGCUGUUUGCUGACCUAUGUGAAAUGAACUGGUUGUGUCAGUCCACUUCCCAGCUGACAGCUCUCCCCAUCAUCAAGGCCAUUGCUACAGGUGGCAGUAAUUGGUGCUUUUUUGAGGCCAGCUCAGCUAAAAGGCUGAAGAAUGGAAAAGCCAGUAGGGCUGAACCACCUCUUCCUCUUAUUCAGGUGCUCCCUCCAGGUGAGUGCUGGGGGAAGCUGGCACUGCUGUUGCCUGCACUACAUCUGCUCUUUGAGCCAACAAAAGACUUCAGGGCAAAGGCGACUCCUCUGAAAUGUGUUUCUCUGAGCAGCUGAUACCUCCCCUGUUGUGAGGAGAUAAAGUAUUCGGAAGAGGAUAUUAUGAGGAGGACUUUCAAUUACACUGUAAGCCACAGCCACCUACCUUGCAUCCUUCAGACACCUCCUGGGAAUGCUGAUUUUGCCAUGGGGCAUCAGAGAUGCCAGGAUGGUCUGGCUAACUGGGGCACCAAUAGGUUCUCCAAAGCCUGCUCACAUGAUGCUGGCCAGUGGUGUUUUCCACAAGGUAAAUCUUGGCCUGCCCCACUGCAGACAAGAAGAAAAGCAGUGAAGGGUGUCAGAACUGCCAGCAACUCUGUCAAACCAAACCUUAAAAAGAGGAAAAUACGCCUUGCCUCCAUGUCUUGGGGUGCAUUAGGAUCCAGACACACUGCGAGGUCAACGUUGGGAUUCUCAGGCAGAGCAGAGAUGUCUCAAAUGAGCUGGACCUGAAGUAUUAAACAUAAGCAGAAUGAGCAGUGGGUUGCUUUAAACCAUUGCUUCCCUCAUAGGAAACAACUUUUUUUUAUGCGUUUCCAUUCUGGGAUUUCUAUUAUCUACUGCCUUGUGCUGGGUGUACCUCAGUGAGCAGGCCCAAAAGAGAAGGAGAGAGCUGAAGUUCCUAUUGAACUAAAGCCAGCUUGUCCUCCAGUUUGAGGCCCGAGAAAACCAUCACUUGAAUCAAAGCACUUUAGAAGGUAGUUUACAAGUCUACUUCCCAAGAAGAAACCAGGAUGCAGUGUUAUCACCUUCAUGAAAUUAAAGGAGGUGGUUUUACGAUUUGGUGGAGAGAAGCCAUGCUGUUAAUUAGUCACAUUUAUUUGACAAAAAAGUGGGGGAGGGUGAAAAGGGGAAAGGAAGUUGGGAAAGAAAAACAGAACAGAAGGGAAAAAAUCUUUAUGAUGAGGUGCUUGGCAGGAUGAAGGAACAAAAGGAAGGUUUUCUGCCUGUCUCCUGAUAUUUUCCAACUCAGCAAAAAAAUCCAUUGUGUAGCUUAAGGGGGAAAAAAAGUUAAAGUUGAAAGCUUAGUGUGUGAAAGCAACUGCUCAACCAUUGUGUAAUACGGGCUAAUGUAAUGUCACUGUUUCCCCAUGAUGUAAGUUGCGAUUUUUGUUCCAGUUGCUGUGGUCAAUGUUAUCGCUUUCAGUUUUCAAAAAGGGGGCAAGGAGGUGCAUGGAGAUGGUAUUUCUCUUUAUCCCCACCACCCCUUCCCCUCUCCCAACAAAUACUUCUGUUAGGACAUAUCAGUGCUGACCAGAUGUCACUGAUUUUUUUUCUUUUUUUGCAUGUGUCCCUUAACAGCUGGCAAGAAUAUCAGCUCAAAUUAUUCACCACAAGCACACUCUUUCUGUUUGUCUCCAGAUAAAGGGAUUUGAAAUCCUGGUUGUCAGAGAGGGAUGCUGAAAACUGUGGAAUGGAUUUCUUUGGGGAGAGGGAAUACUUCUUGAAGAACUUUAAACCAGUUGGAGAUGGUCAUGACUAGGAUGCACAUCCAAAGACAUCCCUUAGGGGUGGUACUUCAUGUUUUUGGAAACUGUUUUAAGCCCAGGAUGUUUUCUUGGAACCACUGUGAAGUGUUCAUAGGAAUCAGUAAUUCUAAAUGUAGAGACUGUUUUUGUUUUGCUCAUGUCAGCUAAAAUAAUCUUAGAUGUGGUUACAGGUGAGAAAUACAAUGGGUGGAUGGCAAAUACACAGCACUGUGCAGGAUGUUCUAGAAUUGCUUGGGACCAUAUCCAUGUGUCUUUGCUCCAUCAGCCUUCAAUCUCUACAUUUUGCAAAUGGGUUGAGGGCAGUGCUGGGUUUGCAGUGGGACACCACACAGCCCUGGUGUCACAGCACUUGGGAGAUGGCAGUGAGGACGUAGCAAAUGGCAUUACACCUGGAACCACAUUCGGUGGGUGCUAUGAUGCACAGCACACAGGAGGGGCUGGUUUAUCCUCAUAAAUCAUGAGCUACUGGCCCUUGUCAUCCAUGUCAUUGCCUUCUGCCUAGCCAUAAUCUUCUCCUCCUCCCCUCAUAUUUACAGUUGUAUCUACUUUUCUCUUCAAAACUGUCACAACUAACCAGUGUUGUAUAGAAUAGUGCAGUGUUCUCCCCAGCUAAGGCUCUGUUGCAAAAUAAGUGUUUUUUCCUUGUGUGAGAAAAGAUAAUUGUGUCAGUAUAUGGAAGUCAUGGCUUGACAGCAUUUCUAACAUUAUCUUCAGAUGAGUGAAAAACACAAGAUCACAUGAAGAUAACUGAGUUUCUGCAUGCUCAUAGUUGGGAUGCAAAUCAAGACUUCAGCUCUGUCUCUAAACUGGAAAAAAAUCUUUGUGUUUAUUACAUACUGCAUUUAGUCUUUGGUGAUGUUUUUAAAUAACCACUUUAAAAGAAAGAGAAAAUUAAUUUUAAUGAACAGUAAGCACAGAAACUCACCUAGGAAGAGUAUGUAACACAUGACAUGCCCUAGGUAGGGUAAAGUUAUGCUUCACUUUAUUAAGGCUUGUAUUCUAUUACUUAUUGUCUUUACUGUUGCCUCAUGGUUGAUAGGAACAAGAAUGCUUUUCUAAAGCAUGCUAAGCUCUUGAAAUUAUUCUUAUUGUUCAUAUUUACCUACUCUUUAGUGAGGAAACUCUAAUAUUUUAUUAUGAUAUGAAAGCCUUUCCAUAUGCCCCACCACCUCCUCCAGUUCCUGAAAUCCCUUCAGUUACGAGACCACCUGCUUUGAAGUGCAGAGAUGGGAAUUGACUGUAGAUUCUGUCCAUUUUAGGAUACAGGGAGAUGGGGCUCUACACUACUGGAAAGGCCGUCUUGAGUGACCUAGAUUUUGGUAAGAAAUUCUGUCUCCAUCUGACAUAGUACUAGCCUUGCCAUUGACUUCAAAGGAGCCAGGAUAGAAGCCCCUGUGCCGUUUUUGCUAAAAUUGAGGUAUUUUGGUACUUGCCAUUAUUUCUGAAGUGGUUUUACAUGCAUAUAAAAUUAUUAAAUAAGAAUUAAUUCUAAAUAUUACUAUAUUUUCCAUAUUAUUUUCCAUCACACUGUUUUGUUUGUUUCCCUGAUGGCCCCAAGGCACAGAGCAGAUGUUUUCACUGAGCUGUCCUCAGUGACUUUUAAAUUACUUCAUCAUUGAGAAAUGGCAACAGUGGCAGUCUUUCUUGUGACAUUCAAUCUCAUCAUCCUUUAUAUGCUUAUUAAAAACUAACUUCAGGGCCAAAUAUAACCAGUAUUGGAAGCACCAUCUCCAGAUAUCUCAAGUAAAAAGGAAAAGGGGUGUGGAGAGGGAGGAGAGAGAGGGGAACAAAAACAGUGAGAGAAAACAAGAAGGAAAUUGGCAGAAAAAAAUAAAGAAAGCAAGUAAUUUAUGUAAUUGAAAAGUAUUAUAGUUUGAACCCUCCUCAAUAAUUGAUGGCCUGAAAUUCAAAUAUUAAUUUAGAUUAAAUCUUGAAUCUGUUUAGCCUUAGAAAUAAUGGAGCACAUUAUUAGAAAAAGGAAAAAACACUCCUCUAAUGUCUUACAAUGGAGUAUAACUUCUGAUUCCCCCAACAGAAAACCUAUUUAAAAAAAGACAAGUCAUUAAUCAGUAACAGCUGCUCCCAGCACCUGUUAUUUAUUCCAGUCAUUAACACUUCCUUUAGCAUUUCUGACAGAAAUGGGUAUCUUUUCUAACUGAUAGAAAAGUGAUCUUUGGAACAUCCCCAGAACUUGAUGGCUACAUUUGAUCUACAACGUGUGUUUACAUCUUAUCGCAGCUUUUCUUUUUCACUUGUGGGCUCCUUCUUUUUUUAAAGCAUAGAUUCUAAAAGCACUGAACAUACCAUUUCUUUUGUUGAACAUUUGUGCAGCCUCUAAUUUUUGGUGUGUCCUCGUUAGUUGGUCACAGAGGUGGGGGCACAGAGUGUCUGUGGGGUGUGUACAGGUGUCAAAGGAUUCCCAACCAGUGUGGCCCCCCUGAUGCCUAAUUCUCAUUGAGGUAAAUGGAAAUGCAGAGAGCAUUCAAACUGGGGUUUCUGUGCUACAGGUGUUGCAACGUUUCUGUGUCAGUUUUGCCUUCUGUCAAAGCCUCCUUGCUCAGAUCAAGCAUAGCCAGAGUUCUCCACAGAGCUGCAGAGAAGGUUCCUCGCCUGCCUUUCCCCACCUUGACACUGUCUAGAGGAGCAGGGUUUCCCAGGCAAAAUCAUGUCCUGCCUUACCUCUUCCUACAACAACCCUUGGCUGCCUCUUGCCCUUUCUCUUCCCAAUGCAGGAGACUCUAAGCCUGGUGAAUCAGGAGAUAACAGAAAAUCAAACAGCAACAAGCGUAUUUCAGAGGCACUUUCCUUCAGGUGUGUUACCUGUAGACUUCCAGCAGCAAAGCUAGUUUGGCACAGCUGCUUUCCACAAUCAUCUGAAACCCUCCUGUGCAUGUGCAGAAGUAAGGCCUGAAAGGCUAGCCUGGUUUAAAAUCCUUAUGCUAAACAAUAAUAUAUAGUAUAAAAUAACAUAUAAAAGGUGCGUAGAUGUGGCAUUUGGGGACAUGGUUUAGUGGUGGAUUUGGCAGUGCUAGGUUAACAGUUGGACUUGGUAUUAAGGAUCUUUUCCAACCUAAAUGACUCUGAUUCUUUAUUUCUGUGUGUAGCUAAACACAGCACUAGUGAAGAAAUGUAAGCAUACAUGUAAUACUGCUGCUCUU